CUCUAUAUCAUGGUUUUAAAUGAAAAAAACUUUAAGUGAUAAAAUUGAGAUAAUGACUACAAUAGACAAUCGUAUCAAAAAAAUUGAAACAGUAAGAAACAAGAAUAGUUUGUAACCACAAAAAUUCAUAAUUUGUUAGUGUAACAUGAAAAAUCAUGGUAAGUACAAAAUACUUAUACUAAAAAAAAAUUGUAUGUGCUUUUUCUUGAUUAUUUGUAUAAUUGGACUGGAUAAAUUCACACAAUCUAACCUUACCUAACCUUAGAUUUAAAAUCGAUGUUGACAUUGAUAUCGAAAUCGGUAGUUACGUGGGAAAAUUUUAGAAAUAACAUUGUAUUCAUUUUUGUUUAUGUUCAAACAUAACAAUAGUUGAAGAAAUAUAUUUUGAGCAAUUUAAGUUUUUUGAAAAAAUAUUUUAGGUAUAAGUAAACAAAAUAAUGAAUGACAUAAACAAUAGUUAGAAGUUAAAUGGUUGUUUAUUUUUAAAAUAAUAUUUGAGACUAAAGAAGAAUAUUAUUGUAUAUUAAAAGUAGUGUAGUUUUACUUGAUCUGUCAGUUUAUAAUGCGGCUGUUGAACUUUUUUCCCUAUUGAACAGCAUAUGGACUUAGUCGCAAACAAAUUAAAUAGCUACCUAUGUUAACUGUUUUAAAAACUUGAGAACAAUUUUAUGAAUAUGUUGUAGGAAACAGAAUUGUUGAAAAAAGUUCACAGCUCGUCCAAAUAUUCAACAAACCAAGCAAGCCGGAGAUACUGGAAGUACAAUUUUGUCUAACUAAUUUUAUAUUUAUAUAGUAUUCAUUAUCAAAAAGAUAUAUUUAUUUAUUUUGAUCUUAAACAGUAUCAGUUAUAUCUAUGUUAACUUGAUAUUAUUACCUAUAUAUACUAAACAUUUUUUAAAUACCUAGGUUAAGUAUUAUUACAUAAUUAUGAACUGAAUUCGAGCAAUAGUAAUUUGGUAACCAUACUCCAAGGUCAAUAAAAAACAAGUAUCAAUUAUGAUCCACAAUCAUAUUUCAUACAGGAUCUGAAAUAUUGUAAUUUUAUUGUCAUAAUAAAAUGCACAAUAUGUUUGUUGAUAAAAUGAAGAAAAAAAAAUGAAAACUCGAGGUAUAGUAAGUAGUGUUUACCUUAAAAAACUGACAGGUAAUACCUUACAAGUAGUUAAAAAAAAAUGGUUGAGUAAUUAAUUUAAUUUAUAGUGAAAUUAUAAAAAAUACUAUACUAUUUAUUUUUUAUAUUAAUAUACUAUUUAGCUAUUCAAGUUUUAACUAAUAGCUCAGAUAUAAUUUGUCAUAAUAAUUUAUAAUUUAAGAAAUCAUAUAAUAAUUUAAUUUAAUUGUACAUACAAUAUAAAUGACAAGCCAUCACAAU